GGAGCAGUCCAGACGAUCGCUGGAUCAAUUUUUUGAUCCGGAGGAAAGUCCGAACACCGUAGGGCAGGGUGCUCCAUAACGUGGAGUCGCGGCAACGUGAAGGAAAGUGCAACAGAAAGCAUACCGCCUUGCACACUUGUGCAGGGUAAGGGUGAAAAGGUGCGGUAAGAGCGCACCAGUUCCCCGGGUGACCGGGGAAGCUUGGUAAACCCCACCCGGUGCAAGACCAAAUAGAGGAGCGUUUGAGAAUGGCCCGUUCAAGCUCCCGGGUAGGUCGCAAGAGGUGCCGGGCAACCGGCAUCCAUAGAUGAAUGAUCGUCGGCCGCUUCGGGGUAACCCGAAACGGAUCCAGAAUUCGGCUUACGGACUGCUCCGACC
rnacentral:RNase_P_RNA from 1 species